UUUAGCCCAGUGCACAAGGGUCAAAACCAAAAUAAAAGAAAAAAAGUGUUCUCUGUAGCAGGAAUCAACAAAGCAAUCAUCUACUGCAUUUCUAGAACUGACUGGCACCCACUUCUGAGAUGAGGAAAAACAACGUGAAGGAAAGAGUUAGAUCAUCAUCUGAGCAGUAGCAGAUCCUGGUUUGACUGCUGCGAUGCAGCCUUGUUCUUUCCAAGCACUGCCAUUCAGUGGACACACAUUAAAAAAUAAUAUCAUCAGCAACAAAGGCCUGAGAAACUACUUUGCCCUGGGCAGCAGUCAACACUAACAAAUUUGAGGGAUGAACACACCUUUCCCUCAAGUCCACCCAGCCUCCCAUUUUUCUUAGCUGUGUGCUCUUGCCUUGUGUCAUUUUGGCUCCAGAUGGAGGCAGAAACAGGCAGCAAAGGCAGAACUAUCCUCCAAAAAAUGUUUGCAGUGUGACACAGCCACACAGAGAAUAUCCCACAGAAAAUCUCCCAUGAGACUCAUAAGGUACACAUGAAACCGUCCUCAGCAUGUCUCAGCCAUUUGGAGACGUGUCAUCAGAAAUCACAGCUACUGGAAGUCGCUCUACGUGGGCCAGAAAUCAAGUGCCACGGGAGCUUGUACUGCAAGCAGUAUGUCACCCCGGGCUGGAUUGCGCCUCUGUCAGGACUCUUCACAUCAAACACUGAGAUUGUGGCAGCAGCCAAAGGCCGAAAGGCCGGGCCCCCUUACGUUACGUGCUGGUGAACCACUGCCCAAGCCCAGCUGCAGACACCGGGAAUCAUGCUUUCUCUCCAGUAAAUCCAGGCUGUGCCCUCCUCACACCUUUCCAUGGAGCGCAUUGCCUUUCACCGUUGCAUACAAGAUGCAGAGGUUAGUUUUUGUGGCUGCUUUGCUUCAUCCAACUGUGCGAUAUUAUCAGCAGGCUGGACAGCAUUUGUGCAGCUCAGAGUGCUUCAUGUCUGCCUUUUGCAAUAGAAUUAAUCUCAUCAGUCUUAAAUGCUUCUUAGCAUCUCCUGUUCUUUUUCAGCAGAAGAAAUUCAAAGUAUGUUAAAAAAUAGAGCAUUUUUUGGCUCCACCAGGUUUUCUCAGACAAAGAAUUAAACCUAACAUUUAAUUCAAGUGACUCUUCAUUUGAUUUUGGUAACGAUAGAUGCAUGUCGCCUUCAUGUUUUGUUUAUUUGACAAAAGCAUCUAUAUAUAAAUAAACAUAAAAAGUAUUAAAAGGUUAAAAACAGCCUGGUUUGCUCAACAGAAUUCUGAAAUCCUAAAAGAUUCAGCAAAAAUAGAGUGAAGUACUUAGAUCUUCAAAAAGCAUUUAGCCAAGCACUUCAUCAAAGGUUAAAGUGCAGAAACAUGAGUGAAAUAAGUGAAUAAGUGAAAAGCUGGCUUACUGGACUGCAAAUUGGCUGAAGAGAGGACGUGAGUUUCAAGCAGAAAAGAAUUUAUAAGGGGCUGUGAUAGAGAUCAGCAGUAGAUCUUCAGCCUUUCAAUAUUAUAUUAGUGAUGGCACUAAAAGUAUGUUUCUGCUGUCUGCUCCUGAUAGUAAAUUCUGGUUAACAAAUAAACAAUGAACAACACGAUCAGCAAUAGAAAAAAUUAAAUUAUGUAUGCAGUGCAGUACUUAAAAAUAACAAUGUAUAUGAAAGAGAGCAAAAAGUCAAGCAAGAGAUUGCUAUCCAAUAGAAAAGUGUUGAAGAAUAACAAGGAAAAGUCUAUUCCAGAAAAAAAUAUCUAUAGUUAAUUCAACUCAAAGUGCAGCUCCACUGAGUAAGACAAGCUGAAUUCCCUGAGAAUUAGGCUCAGCUCUCAGAAAAGUAUUUGCUAGAUAUACUUGGGGCAUCAGGAACAUUUAAUCGAAGUUAAAUUGAAUUCAGUACUUUGGUAAAGAGUGAAGGUAUGUGUAUAGGUAUGUAUAGGCAUACAUUUACAUGGUAUCAAUUGCAUCCAUGUUCCCAGGCCCUCUCCACUCUCCUGGCAGGGUGUGCUGCCUCGCCAACAGUAGGUCCACCAUCUGGCUAGGAAAGACUCACAAGUCACAGCCACCACCUGCCCUGUGUCACCACAAAGGCACCUAUGGAGGUUGCUCCAGUAGAAAGGCAAUCAAACACCAAAAUUAAUAGCCCAACUUUCAAAACAGGAUUACAGGAUUUUUUCAAAGAUUCUCCAAUGUUUCUUCCAAGCCCUAUAUUAUGCUAUAAAAUUUCUGGACUUGCUGAGAGGAGGCAAGCUCACAUCCUCCUCACACACAGUGGGCUAGCCUGUCAUCCCAUUUAUUGCCUGUUUGUUGAUGCCUUAGUGAUGUCUUAUAUGAAGAAUGAUUUUUUUUUAAUUACUUUUUCAGUACUUUAAAAAAGAAAAGAAAAUCAAACAAGACACCUUGCAAUUUAUGUUUUCACAUCGUGUUUGCUCUGCAUGUGCGUGAAAUGGGCUUUUCGAUUAUUCCCUGUGGUACUGUAUCUCUAACUAGACUCUCUUCUUCCAGUGUUACCACACAAAGUUCUCGAGCAGUAAAUUAGUCAAAGUAUGUAGAAAUGUAACAAGCUGCCAUGUCCUUUCCCAGGAUGCUGGUUCUUUCCUUAUCAGAUUCCAACACCAUUUAUUGGAAGCUCUGCAUCUCUUUUUGUCUUCCUGAAUUUCAAGAAGUAGAGAAAAAUAUAUCCAGUGUAAGAAUGAUACUUUUACUAUGUCUUUAAAGCCUGUAAGUUUUCCACAUUCUGAGCUCAAGCAAACUUGUCUAGGAAUGCAGAUAAUCACUGAAACAGGAAGGUAAGAACCGAUAUGUGAGAUUUCACAUUGGCAUUGAACUAACUAGGUGAGAGAAAUUAUGGGCUGCUAUAACUUCAAUGUGACCAAAGGAUUUUGGAGAACCUCAUGAAGAAGAUGCCUGAUGAAUUCUAAUUUAAGAGUAAUAUAAAUGGGGGAGAAAAUCUACACCACUAAGAAGAAAACUACUAUCCUGUGGUACGAAAUGACAUAAUAUGCAAAUGGCACCACUGAGUCAACAGGUACAGAAGUGGCUAAAUCUUUGCACAGAAUCUGAUGAAUUUCUUCACUGCAAAAGGAACCUAAGCAAAAAGCCAUGAAAGAUCUUUCCAGGAAGUAGUUUUAAUGGUGCAGGUUAAAAGACAGUAGUAUUGUGUUUUCAAAAAAUUGACUUGUUCCUUGUUCUUUGCAGUCAAGUCACAGUUAUUUUUCCCAUAAAAUAUAAUUUGUGUCAGAAAAAUGGAAGAAUUUUUAAAUAUAUAAUGCUGCACCUAUAUUAAAUGUCUAGGCAUAAAAAGAAGACAGCAAGACAGAAAAUACCAUUUAUUAAAGACACUAACUGUUUAAGAAAAUAUACAAUGGAAUAAUGACCAUAAAGAAUAUCUCUUACAAUAAAUUUUCAAAAUGAAAAC